rnacentral:rRNA from 1 species
UACAGAGGUCUCAACCGUUGUUCGGAUUCAUUGGGCGUAAAGGGUGCGUAGGUGGCGCCGUAAGUCGGGUGUGAAAUUUCGGAGCUUAACUCCGAAACUGCAUUCGAUACUGCGGUGCUUGAGGACUGGAGAGGAGACUGGAAUUCAUGGUGUAGCAGUGAAAUGCGUAGAGAUCAUGAGGAAGACCAGCGGCGAAGGCGGGUCUCUGGACAGUUCCUGACACUGAGGCACGAAGGCCAGGGGAGCAAACGGG